GCACUACUGAGGAGUCCCGCAAUAGGACGAAACGGCCGUCCAGUGC
rfam:Schistosoma margrebowiei strain Zambia genome assembly, scaffold: SMRZ_scaffold0001178